rnacentral:rRNA from 1 species
UACGUAGGGGCCAAGCGUUGUCCGGAUUUAUUGGGCGUAAAGGGCGCGUAGGCGGCCACCGCAAGUCGACUGUGAAAUCUCCGGGCUUAACCCGGAAAGGUCAGCCGAUACUGCGGGGCUAGAGUGCAGAAGGGGCAACUGGAAUUCUCGGUGUAGCGGUGAAAUGCGUAGAUAUCGAGAGGAACACCUGCGGCGAAGGCGGGUUGCUGGGCUGACACUGACGCUGAUGCGCGAAAGCUAGGGGAGCGAACGGG